rnacentral:rRNA from 1 species
UACGUAGGGUGCGAGCGUUAAUCGGAAUUACUGGGCGUAAAGCGUGCGCAGGCGGUUUUGUAAGCCCGAUGUGAAAGCCCCGGGCUUAACCUGGGAAUGGCAUUUGGGACUGCAAGGCUGGAGUGUGGCAGAGGAGACUGGAAUUCCAGGUGUAGCGGUGAAAUGCGUAGAUAUCUGGAGGAACACCGGUGGCGAAGGCGGCAUCCUGGACCGACACUGACGCUGAGGAGCGAAAGCCAGGGGAGCAAACGGG